rnacentral:lncRNA from 1 species
UCGAAUCGAGUUUAGUCUAUAAUAUUAGUCCCUGGAAGAGGGCUACCUAUCAUGCAACUUAUAGAGUUGCGUACAGUGGUGGGGUUGUAAACAGUAAGUACAACAUAUUGUUUUUACCAUAGUGGACAACGGGUAUUACAUUUUAUUUUUGUGGAGCUAGCCAAUCUUCGAAUCGAGUUUAGUCUAUAAUAUUAGUCCCUGGAAGAGGGCUACCUAUCAUGCAACUUAUAGAGUUGCGUACAGUGGUGGGGUUGUAAACAGUAAGUACAACAUAUUGUUUUUACCAUAGUGGACAACGGGUAUUACAUUUUAUUUUUGUGGAGCUAGCCAAUCUUCGAAUCGAGUUUAGUCUAUAAUAUUAGUCCCUGGAAGAGGGCUACCUAUCAUGCAACUUAUAGAGUUGCGUACAGUGGUGGGGUUGUAAACAGUAAGUACAACAUAUUGUUUUUACCAUAGUGGACAACGGGUAUUACAUUUUAUUUUUGUGGAGCUAGCCAAUUUUCGAAUCGAGUUGAAAAGUUUUUAAGAUAGAAAUGUGGAGCGGAAGGUCAUAUACAAUUUUCAGAUCAAAUUUUCUGCCUCUUUCGUUCCUCAGCCUACGAAAAAUAACACUUCUUUGCGAAAUCACGUUUAACUAAAUGCGCAAUGAUUUUGUAAUUUAGUGUACCAUAUGAAAGAGACGGGCUGGAUCAAGGUAUCACAGAAUGAUGUUGGUGAACUGCAUUACAAAUAUCAAGACGAGAAAAAGAGAUAAAAACUCUGUAAGAAUAGUUUGUACUGUAGUUUGUACUGUUGCUAGGGGUUUGUGUCAAAAUUUAGUCAUUAAAGUUUAAAAAUUUGUGAGAAU